rnacentral:lncRNA from 1 species
UAUAGAUGGACUAGUUCUUAAAGCAAGUGAUAUUGAAAAAAAAGUAAGUGUUGUGUAUGAUCCUCUAAUGUUUUGUAUUUUCAGCGAUGUACUCGCAUAGUGUGUCUUUUGCAGGAGGAAAAAUGGCAAGCGCAAACGGAAGAGCUAAAGAUGGUGGGGUCACGGAGGAACAACUGAAAGCGGUAGAGUAUGAACUACUGAGAAGCAAGACCAUUGAACGGAAUGAUAAACGGCUAGCAGCGGUACGAGCAACAAGAGCUUCUAUGCAGGAAGAUACGGAAGCGAACCAAGCCCCCAAAAAGAAAAGAAAGGUAUGUAGCCCUGAAGAUGUUCUACUUGAAGGAAGCAAAUGUAGCUUGCAACACUAAACUAUAUAUCUAUGCAGGCACCCUCCAGCGCACCUAUAAGCGCGAAUGAAGGACGUGUUUUGAGGUCUAGGGUAUCAAAAGAUCAAGAUCAUGUAGAUCCUGAGCAUCAGCCUUCCAAAG